rnacentral:snRNA from 1 species
ACAAUUACCUGGCUGGGGAGAUACCAUGAUCACAAAUGUGGUUUUUCAAGGGUAGGACUUACCCAUUGCCCUGGGGAUCUCUUGAUCCCUGCAAUUUUCUCACAUGGGGGAACCUCAACUGUAUAAUUUGUGUUGGUGGGGGUUGUGUUUGUGCUUUCCCCUG